rnacentral:rRNA from 1 species
GACAGAGGAUGCAAGCGUUAUCCGGAAUGAUUGGGCGUAAAGCGUCUGUAGGUGGCUUUUUAAGUCUGCCGUCAAAUCCCAGGGCUUAACCCUGACAGGCGGUGGAAACUACCAAGCUGGAGUACGGUAGGGGCAGAGGGAAUUUCCGGUUGGAGCGGGUGAAAUGCGUAGAGAUCGGAAAGAACACCAACGGCGAAGGCACUCUGCUGGGCCGACACUGACACUGAGAGACGAAAGCUAGGGGGAGCAAAAUGGG